AGAGUUUGAUCCUGGCUCAGAAUCAACGCUGGCGGCGUGCCUAACACAUGCAAGUCGAACGAGAAAGCGGGGGCAACUCCGUGAGUAAAGUGGCGCACGGGUGAGUAACACGUGACUAACCUACCUUGGAGUUCGGAAUAACCUCGGGAAACCGGGGCUAAUACCGGAUAAUACCUACGGGUCAAAGGAGCAAUUCGCUC
rnacentral:rRNA from 1 species